rnacentral:misc_RNA from 1 species
GAUGAAGAACGCAGCGAAAUGCGAUACUUGGUGUGAAUUGCAGAAUCCCGUGAACCAUCGAGUCUUUGAACGCAAGUUGCGCCCGAAGUCAUUAGGCCGAGGGCACGCCUGCCUGGGCGUCACACGUCGUUGCCCCCCCAUCUACUCCUUCGGGAUUGCGGGGGGCGGAUGAUGGCCUCCCGUGCGCCUCGCCGCGCGGUUGGCAUAAAUGCCAAGUCCUCGGCGACGCACGCCACGACAAUCGGUGGUUGCGAAACCUCGGUUGCCCGUCGUGUGCGGUCGUCGCGCAUCGAGGGCUCGAAAAAAUUGCCGGGUUCCGGCUCGGCUUUCAACGCGACCCCAGGUCAGGCGGGGUUACCCGCUGAAUUUAAGCAUAUCAAUAAGCGGAGGA